CUGGAGUUCCAACAACCGAUUUACGGAACGAUUUCUCGCCAAUGAUACGAGCAAAACCGAAAUCGCACAACUUGAGCUGAGGGAAUGGUACUCGCUCCUUGUCAUCACUAUCGUCGCGCGGCAAAUUUAAGCGUGUCGCUGGAAACGCUUUAUCUAAUACUACGGCAUUGGCAUUCUAACUUCAUCUUCUAUAACGAAAUCAUUAUUUCGAGGGGCUUGCCUCUAACUAUUGUUCACAUUGCAAACACACGAUGAUACGGAAUAUCAUGGAGUUUGCAUUCCUCGCCGAAUCUGUCCAACAACUAGAUGUCUGCAACGCCGCUUAAAGAGCAAAUAGUUCUGCUAUCAAAUGAAGACCAUUAACUUGGUCUUCAGUUGUAUGCAAACGUUGCCUUGGCCAACCAGGAUGAUCUGCUUUCAGUGUUACUGGGUAAAAACUUACGCCGAUAAACAUAUUCAUCGUGCCUUACAGAAAAUUUCGU